CUUGAGUUGUUCUGAAAAUACAUGGCAGAAAAUACUUAUUCACAGUUACUUAGAUGAGGGAUUGGUAUGCAUGCCAUGCUAAAAUUUUGACUCAUUUUAUGUGAUGCAAACUAUUUUGCUGUUUACAGGUUUUUUGCUCUCAAAUAUGCUGCAGAUGCUGCUUGCACUGUGCUGCGUGUAGAUCAGAUUAUAAUGGCAAAACCAGCUGGUGGCCCAAGGAGGGAGCAGCCUGCUGCGGGGAUGGAUGAGGACUAUGGUUUUGUAUGAGCUUGGGGCAAGUGACUGUAAUGACCAUGCUUGGGCUAUGCUUUUGUUCCUUUUGCAUGCCAAAGACACAGCCUAAGAAAUUUUUGUUUUAAAAUGGCAUAGAUGGUGUUCUUUCUUGUAUAAUUUAUUUGUAUUUUAUUUUAUUUUUUUGUGGAAAAAAAAAUUGAAGUUUGUUUUUGGGGUGAUCCUAAUUUUUCUUGCAUUAGUGCUGUGGUGCUGAACUUAAAACUGAUACCAGGGAUACCACUUGGCAUUUAGCAUUUAAAUUGUUUGGUUGAAAUCUUAGAGCCUGAUUUCCAAUUACUGUCUGGGGGCAGAUUUUAUUUUUUCAAUUUAUUUAUUAUUUUUUUU